CACGGAGUUAGCCGAUCCUUAUUCUUACGGUACCGUCAAGCUGCUUCACGAAGCAGUGUUUCUUCCCGUAUAAAAGCAGUUUACAAUCCAUAGGACCGUCAUCCUGCACGCGGCAUGGCUGGUUCAGGCUUGCGCCCAUUGACCAAUAUUCCUCACUGCUGCCUCCCGUAGGAGUCUGGUCCGUGUCUCAGUACCAGUGUGGGGGAUCUCCCUCUCAGGACCCCUACCCAUCGUUGCCAUGGUAAGCCGUUACCUUACCAUCUAGCUAAUGGGACGCAUGCCCAUCUUUCACCGUUGGAACUUUAAUAUAAUGAUGAUGCCAUCUCUAUAUACUAUAAGGUAUUAAUCCAAAUUUCUCUGGGCUAUCCCUUUGUGAAAGGUAGGUUGCAUACGCGUUACGCACCCGUGCGCCGGUCUCAAGUUAGCAAGCUAACUCUACCCCUCGACUUGCAUGUGUUAAGCCUGCCGCUAGCGUUCAUCCUGAGCCAGAUA
rnacentral:rRNA from 1 species